ensembl:lncRNA
GUUCUCCGCGGUUCUCCGAGGUCGGAGGUUUCCAGCCUGCUGCGCGCACCGGCGCAUUCUAUUUUUGUGCUUCCUGCGCCCGGAGGCGCGGCUGUGCCCGGGCUCUGGCUUUUCCGGUUGGGCAGCUCCCAGUCGCCCAGGCGGGUGGCCUGAGCGAUGGGCAGGGCAGGGAGGUGUCCCAGGGAACGGAAACUGAAAGUGGGGGAGAGCCUUCAAAACUCCAGCUGAUCCACCUGCCUGCCCUGUUCCUGCACAAGUCGGGUGCUGGUUGGCUGGCCGGUGCGUUUUUCAAAAUAUAAUUGUUUCUUUAUCCUCAGUAGACAUGAAGUAGAGUUCACAUAGCACACAGUUCUAGGAGUUUUGACAGAUCAUCACCAUCAAACAGCAGAACAAUUCCAUUAUCCCACCUGCUACUGGCCACUAGCCUCCUAGCCACUCAUCUCUCUUUUUGGCAUUUCCAGAAAGCCAGGUAAAUAGAAGUAACAGCAUGUAGCUUUUUGAUUCUGGCUGCUUUUACUCAGCAAAACGUAUCUCAGAUUCAACUGUAUUGUUGCUAAUAUCAGAAGUCACUUCUUUAUCUUGCUGUGUUUCCAUUUUUCAUUUGUCCAUUCAUUCAUCUGUGGGUAGCAGGACUUGUGGGGUGAUUGCAGUUUUGAAGGGAUGGGGGAAAGCUGCUAUAAAUAUCCUGGGGCAGGUUUCCAUGUGAACUUGGAUAUUCACCUCACUUGGGAAAAUACUCGGGAGUGGGACUGGGGUCUUGGCUCUUCGUAUGUUUAAUAAAAACACUUGGGCAUCUUAGAAAUUGCUAUGUUUGGGAGUUCCCGUCGUGGCUCAUCGGAUUUGUUUCCACUAUGCCAUGAUGGGAACUCCUCUUUUAUUUCUUAAUUAAACUUUUAAUUUUGAGGUAAUCAUAGAUUCUUGCUCAGCUAUAAGAAAUAACAGAGACAUCCUGUGUUCUCUUUACUCAGCUUCUCCCAGUGGUGGUACCUUACAAAACUACAUGAUGAUAUAAUUGGUUUUGGCAUAGUCGAGAUAGAGUGUUUUGGGGUCCACUUUUUGUGUGCGUGUGUGCCCUUGGCAUGCGGAAGUUCCUGAGCCAAGGAUUGAACCUGCACCACAGCAGUGACCCAUGCUGCUGCAGUGACAAUGCCAGAUCCUUAACCACUGAGCCACCAGGGAACUCCAGGGGUCCAUCUUUGGAUGCAGGGACCCACAUGAGACACCAGCACGGCCUCAAUGAACACUCGGGGUAUUGCUCAAUGCCACAGGCCUGAGAGACCUGGCUGGUGGGAACAGGAGGAACAGCUUGGAGAGACAGAGAAGGUGCCAAAGAGGCUUCCAGGCAUCACCCUGAGGUGGAAAAAGGAACAUGACUGUCAUCCUAUAGCCAAGGAGACAAGGCACAGGCACUGGGGAAUACCGAGCAACAGGACCCCUAGGAGACAGAAAACAAGAAGGGGGGAGAGGGGUUUCCUGUGUGGCCCCUCGGUGCCUCCCUCAUCACCCGCCUUUGCUCCAUCCUAUAAACCCGUGAGAGGGAAACUUCUGGAUGAAAUAUAAGGUUGUUAUUAAAAUAGCAAACUGGGGAGUUCCCGCCGUGGCUCAGCAGUUUAUGAAUCUGACUAGCAUCCAUGAGGAUGAGGGUUCGAUCCCUGGCCUCGCUCAGUGGGUUAAGGAUCCGGCGUUUCUGUGAACUGUGAUGUAGGUCGCAGAUGCAGCUCAGAUCUGGCACACUGGCAGCUACAGCUCCACCUGGACCCCUAGCCUAGGAACCUCCAUAUGCUGCGUGUGUGGCACUAAAAAGACAAAAAAAAA